UGAUCCAAGGAGCGUUGCAGCGGCAUUCAAUGCCGUCAGGCUUGGAUGUCCCAACGACGCUCACCUGUU
rnacentral:ncRNA from 2 species